rnacentral:tRNA from 1 species
CCUGUUAUCGUCUAGUGGUUAGGACACCAGGUUCUGAUGUCCUGACUUUCCUGGGAACCCCGGUUCAAACCCGGGUAACAGGU